rnacentral:rRNA from 1 species
GACGAACGCUGGCGGCGUGCCUAAUACAUGCAAGUCGAACGCUUCUUUCCUCCCGAGUGCUUGCACUCAAUUGGAAAGAGGAGUGGCGGACGGGUGAGUAACACGUGGGUAACCUACCCAUCAGAGGGGGAUAACACUUGGAAACAGGUGCUAAUACCGCAUAACAGUUUAUGCCGCAUGGCAUAAGAGUGAAAGGCGCUUUCGGGUGUCGCUGAUGGAUGGACCCGCGGUGCAUUAGCUAGUUGGUGAGGUAACGGCUCACCAAGGCCACGAUGCAUAGCCGACCUGAGAGGGUGAUCGGCCACACUGGGACUGAGACACGGCCCAGACUCCUACGGGAGGCAGCAGUAGGGAAUCUUCGGCAAUGGACGAAAGUCUGACCGAGCAACGCCGCGUGAGUGAAGAAGGUUUUCGGAUCGUAAAACUCUGUUGUUAGAGAAGAACAAAGACGUUAGUAACUGAACGUCCCCUGACGGUAUCUAACCAGAAAGCCACGGCUAACUACGUG